rnacentral:rRNA from 1 species
GACGAACCGUGCGAACGUUAUUCGGAAUCAUUGGGCUUAAAGCGCGUGUAGGCGGACUCGUGCGUCUGUCGCUGAAAUCCCCCGGCUCAACCGGGGAACGGGCGCGGAUACGACGAGUCUGGAGGGGCAUAGGGGGACCUGGAACUUCCGGUGGAGCGGUGAAAUGCGUUGAGAUCGGAAGGAACGCCCGUGGCGAAAGCGAGGUCCUGGAUGCCUACUGACGCUGAGACGCGAAAGCCAGGGGAGCGAACGGG